rnacentral:rRNA from 1 species
GACGAACGCUGGCGGCGUGCUUAACACAUGCAAGUCGAACGAUGAAGCACCAGCUUGCUGGUGUGGAUUAGUGGCGAACGGGUGAGUAACACGUGAGUAACCUGCCCCUCACUCUGGGAUAAGCCUUGGAAACUGGGUCUAAUACUGGAUACGACCGAUCUCCGCAUGGAGUGUUGGUGGAAAGUUUUUGUGGUGGGGGAUGGACUCGCGGCCUAUCAGCUUGUUGGUGGGGUAGUGGCCUACCAAGGCGACGACGGGUAGCCGGCCUGAGAGGGCGACCGGCCACACUGGGACUGAGACACGGCCCAGACUCCUACGGGAGGCAGCAGUGGGGAAUAUUGCACAAUGGGCGAAAGCCUGAUGCAGCGACGCCGCGUGAGGGAUGACGGCCUUCGGGUUGUAAACCUCUUUCACCAGGGACGAAGCUAACGUGACGGUACCUGGAGAAGAAGCACCGGCUAACUACGUG